rnacentral:rRNA from 1 species
GAUGAACGCUGGCGGCGUGCCUAAUACAUGCAAGUCGAGCGAACAGACGAGGAGCUUGCUCCUCUGACGUUAGCGGCGGACGGGUGAGUAACACGUGGAUAACCUACCUAUAAGACUGGGAUAACUUCGGGAAACCGGAGCUAAUACCGGAUAAUAUAUUGAACCGCAUGGUUCAAUAGUGAAAGACGGUUUUGCUGUCACGUAUAGAUGGAUCCGCGCCGCAUUAGCUAGUUGGUAAGGUAACGGCUUACCAAGGCAACGAUGCGUAGACGACCUGAGAGAGUGAUCGGCCACCCUGGAGCUGAGACACGGUCCAGACUCCUACGGGACGCAGCAGUAGGGAAUCUUCCGCAAUGGGCGAAAGCCUGACGGAGCAACGCCGCGUGAGUGAUGAAGGUCUUCGGAGCGUAAAACUCUGUUAUUAGGGAAGAACAAAUGUGUAAGUAACUAUGCACGUCUUGACGGUACCUAAUCAGAAAGCCACGGCUAACUACGUG